rnacentral:misc_RNA from 1 species
GGUCAUUAUGUAUACUUUGAUGUAUUGUCCUUUUGGCCCUUAGGCCUCAUUGUUUUGUCCUUGAAAAAGAAUUUCGAGGGGCAGAAAGUGUGCUUGGUCUUAUAAGACUCUGGCUCUCCCUCGAUUCCAAUAAUUCAUGAAAAUUUUAAUAUAAAAUACUCAAUUAUAUUCAGUCAAUAGACAUACCACAACACCCAGUUUAAAACAAACCAUGCUAAGUGAG